AUGCAGGGAAAACCGCCUGACAUCAUGAGAGCGGGACAAACGCUCACUUUGAAGGAUUCCUGGGCAGGACUUCAAGUGAAAUCAUAUGCCUGAGAAGAACUUGAUACCGGUCUAGAGAAAAUAACCAGUUCUGAGUUUGCCAAACCGUGGAAUGUGCAAAAUGCUCGACUUUUUUGCAAGAGGCCAAGUGUCCCUUAAAAAGCUCUAUUAUGAAUAUGAGCCUGAAGACUGAAGCAGCAGAAAGCUUGUGCCGUUGUUGAGUGUGGGAAAAAAGUACACACAGUAUCUGCCUCCUCAAAAUAUAAGCAAGAGAAGUGAAUAACAAAUUUCCUAAGUUUUUGCUUGUUUGGGGGCCUGAUAAGAGAUGAAGGAGAGAUGCUACAAAGUCCACUGAACACCAAACUGGAAUAAUAAUAAUAAAGCUGUCUUUCUAAAUAACACGCCUGUGCCUGUCAGUAGCUAGUUUAUUUGCGUUUUUCACUGCUUUGUUUAUAUUAGUGCCCCCUCCCUCCUGGGUGCCUCCAGAGUUAAACAAGCAGGUAUUUACCUCCAACUUAAUCCUGAGCUUUAAAAAUAUAGACCAAACUCUGAGGUUCUUAAAAUUUUCAAUCAUAUUUAUUUAUUGCAGAAAAAUAAUAUACAAAGAUAUGCCGGCGCGCCCGCGAGGUGUCUGGGAGUUUGACGAGAGCUGCAGCCUCGGAGGCUCUUAUACCUCCGCGCGGCAGGAAAGCUUGGGGGCAGCGGUGUCAUUGGCCUGACGUGGGGAGGAGGGACUUUUCCAAGUUUUAUAGGAAAGUUUCCGCUUUCCAGGCCCCCCUGCCCUCCCACCACCUUCCUCGUCCCCACCCCCACCCCCCUUUCCGCGGGGUCUAACAAUUCGUUCUCCCAAACCAUUCAAAGGCGACCUGGCUGCGGCGGCCGGCCCUCUGCCCGCCUCCCCGCCUCCCCGCCUCCCCUCCCCGCCCCGCCGCCCUCCCCCUUCCCGCCCCGCCGCCCUCCGCGGGCCGGCGCGGGGCGAUUUCCUUCCGCGCCCGAGCGCGCGCGGGCCGCGCCCCCGCACCCGAGCGCAGCCCCGGAAGGCGGCCGGAGGGGACCUUUCGGCCGCGGUGUCAGUCCCUCCCGGAGUGGAUGUGACAGCAGCGGCAGCUCCGGCUACAGCUUCUACGCAGUGGGUGAUGCUUCAUCUCGCCCCUGUACCCUCUAGCGACCCAAGCCUAAAGCCGCUUGCCACCCCAAAGACUUCGCCUCCGACGGGGCUAAAAAGAGGAAGUUCGUUCUUUUCUCGGAAGUCAGCCCUGUCCUCGGAGAAAGCAGCGGGCCGGAGAGGGACAGCGCAGGGUCUUCGCUGCGGCCCGCGUCGCCUGAGCUGCCGGCCCAAGGAACAAAAAUAG
rnacentral:lncRNA from 12 species